UCAUAACUUACUUUUUAUUAACAACUUCAGAUUUUUUUACAAAGCAAACAGCAAAAUUAUUUUACAGGCUGAAGUGGAAAACAAAGUUUCUCCCCAACAUCACAGCUGAUAUAAAAACACACUUUUCAAAGAGACAAACGGUAAUCGCCGCAGACGACUCUGAGCGACUCCUGCGUCCACAGUUCAGCAGGAACAGAUGUUUGGUUUUUACUUUUCAUCUAAAUUUAACGUAAUCACACUCUGCUGCGCGAACGCUGCGCCACAUACUCCAGUGUAAUGCUCAAAGCCUGCAUUACAUGGAUUUUAUUUAUGUGACGCACUUUUCAUCUGUAACAGCUGCUGCUCGCUGGAUUUAAAAUGAGACAAUGCUCGCUGUCAGACCCGUCUUAUCUGCUCGGGAUUUGCUGUAGGUCCACUUUAUGAGAGCAGCUGCAUUAUGUAAGAAAACACAAAACACUGAAUAUGACUCGGGAACAGCAGCCCUCCAAAAUAAAAGUCCAGCCUCAAACCUCACUGAGAAAAAGCCGAAAGUGGAGCUGAUUUCUGUGAAAGCGAGCGAGCGCUGCAGGCUGAUGGGAGCAGGCAGCACACAGGGAGAGUUGUCCUGCAGCUGAUCCGGGCGAUUCAUGGAGCAUUUAGUCCAUCCAGACAAGUCAGCGUCAACACUUUAACUGAAACACACACACACACACACACACACACAGGGCUGUGUCAGGAGUGUGUGUGCCUGAGAGAGAAGACACUGCAGGCGGCCGAACAGACAGAUAAAAAGAUGGUGCAAAGUUUGAAUAUGAGACAUUUUCCCGGGGCUGAAGCACAGACUGGAAGAAGCCUCCAGGGUUUCUUCCUGUUAAAAGGGAGUUUUUCCUUCCCACUCUCGCCAAAGUGCUUGCUCAUAGGGGGUCAUACAAUUGUUGGGUUUAUCUGUAUAUGUAUUAUUGUAGGGUCUACCUUACAAUAUAAAGCACCUUGAGGUGACUGUUGUUGUGAUUUGGCGCUGUAUAAAUAAAACUGAAUUGAAUAUAAAAGAUGGAUGCAGCCAUUGUGACAUCACUCAUUAGCCAAGUCCUCCAAAAGCUACAGUUCCUCCAGGGUCCACUCGAGGCUCCAAAAGUGAGUCAGCGGCAGUUUCGUUUCAAACACUUUGCCUUUAAAAAAAAAUUCUCUUAUGCAGUGAAGACUAACCAGAGGUAAUUUUACCGGCAAACAAAUCAAUUUGAAAUAUACUGAAAGAAUCCUCAGAGACCGACUUCCUGCAACUAUCCAGGAACAAUCUGCUGACAAUCUGUGCACCUUCCAGCAUGAUGGAGCUUUAUGUCACAAGACAAACAUGAUCUGAAGUUUGCAGAAAUCUUGAAACUUUGGAUUCAGGGGCAGGAAAAUUCCCGUAUCGUAAUCUGACCCGGAAUCUUUGGUCGGUGCUUGGACGAGGAGAAGUCGACAAAGUGACCAACAGACUGAAACACUGAUCGGGCAAGAGUGGAUCUAACAAGUCGUGAUGGUGACUGGACAGGUUCUUACACUGCACACUCAAAGGGCUUCAUCCAGCGUGUCUCACUGACACAAGCACCGUUUCUAACAUUCACACUGCCGUGGAUGCAUCUGAGAGCAGAUGCACAGGAAUACUCUGGCAUGCAGACUAUCAACCUUCCAGGUAGAUGACUGUAAAUUUGUCGAUACAACCAGAGUUUGGAGAAUUUACUACUUUGGUGUGUCUGAGUGUUUGCCGGGUUCUUUUAGACUUGUAAAAAAUCUGACAGGGGCUCCACGGGGCUGUGAUUCAUACAUUCAAUUGGCAGGAAAAAGGUUGCAUCAGGAAGGGAAUCCAGCGUAAAUCUGCAAAAUCAAACCACCUGCUGUGAAACCUUUUAUGGCAGAGGACCAGCAGAACUAGCUUUAAACUUCUCACAGUCUGACAGAAAACACUAAAAGGAGCCGAAACAAGUAAAUCGACAAGUUAAAAACUUUCACAGGCAGCUUCAGCCUGGUACCUCGGCUAAUUCCAGUCCCUGAACUGGACCUCUGGACCCUGUUUGUACUGUUGGAGCCUUUUUAAUGACAUCAUCUGACCAAUGAUAUGGCUGCUGUGAGGUUACUGUAGUAACCAUGAAGUCUGAGUGAAAGUCGAGGACUAAUUAGUAGGUAUCUGUGAUGUGAGUGUGUUAGCCAUGUUAGCUAAUAAUGCGGCACCUCAGCUCUCAUCCAAAUACAGUCCCCGCUGGCUCCAAACAGACAACAUGGCUACCAAAGCGCCAACAUUUAGGAAAGCAUCUUUUAUAUACAGUCUAUGAUUUUACCCCCAGCCAGACUCCGAAGUCUGACUUUUGGCAUUAUGAUCGAAGAAUAAACCUAAAUUAUCACUAAAACCAAAGACCGACUGCGCCGUUUUGUUUUUCUGCUCAUUUCUGUGCAGUAACGAAACCCUGUGCGUCGGGGCCUCGUCGCAGGUUUUACGGUAUCUAAACCGGAACCUGCAGAAUGUGUCAAACUCAAACAAGCCGUCUCAGCACAGGAAGGAUGUUAAGUUAUGAAUUAAUAAUGAGAAUUAGACAAGCUCCACGAAAACACAAAACUGGCAUGAAAGACAAACUUCAGCCUCAUCAGAAAUACUCAAUGUUUACUCACAUUUUACUUUUAUGAUUCACAAUUUAAGUCUCUGCAGGUUGAAGAAAUCAAAACACAAAUUUUUCAUUCAUCUUAAAAAAACAAACAAACCAAAAAAGCCCCCAAAACCCACUGCAGUGACAACGCAGAGUGACGAGACAGAAAACCUGCGCGUGUAAACGUGAAAAAUCCAACAAGCACAAAACAUUUAACGUUAAAUCUGUCAAAAUAUACUGUUUGUGUGUGCAGAGUAUACAGAGAGAGGCGUUUAAGUACAAACAGGAAAUAAAAAGAACCAAAUAAAAGGAUCUGAGCGUCGCUGCCGCUCGACUCUGCUCCCAGCGUAUGUACAGGUCAAGGCUUACAAAGCUCAUAAGUUCAGGGAUGAAAUCACACGGCGACAGUGAGCUCGCUCCCAUCGGUUCCCUCCUUCAUCCAUCGCUUCAUCUCUCCCUCCUCCUCGUCACGUGGGCGUACCUCUCGGUGAUGCCAUAGUCUCUUGGUUUUUUAAAAAAAAACUCCUCUUUUGUGCUUCACUCCAUCUUGGACAUCUCAAACUUCGUCGUCAUCGUUUCCUGCAACAGAAAACACACCAGCACGUUUAUAGUUUCAGG
ensembl:lncRNA